UGCCUCUUCACCGGAGCCGCUGUGGCUUGUUCACUUUGGCUUGCAGGUGGCGGUGGGAUCGUUGGCCCUUUGGCGUCGACCUUCCUUAAAUCGAUCAGCGAUGCCCGGUCCCGAAACCUUUGGUAUAACGUGGGUGUUAACUUUUACUGCCUGCGCCACUGGUCGAGGGGCUCUCGGAGCUUUUCGCUUUCCAAACGUCCUUUGCAGGACAACACACUCUUG
rnacentral:misc_RNA from 1 species